UACGUAGGGGGCAAGCGUUAUCCGGAUUUACUGGGUGUAAAGGGAGCGUAGGUGGAUUGUUAAGUCAGUUGUGAAAGUUUGCGGCUCAACCGUAAAAUUGCAGUUGAAACUGGCAGUCUUGAGUACAGUAGAGGUGGGCGGAAUUCGUGGUGUAGCGGUGAAAUGCUUAGAUAUCACACAGAACACCGAUUGCGAAGGCAUCUCACGAAUCCGCGAUUGACGCUGAUGCACGAAAGCGUGGGUAUCAAACAGG
rnacentral:rRNA from 1 species